rnacentral:misc_RNA from 1 species
AGGCAUUUAGUCGAGUAGUUCAGCGUUUGAUUCCCGAAUUGCCCACAUUGGAAAAUCUGUUGAAUGUGUUGGUUAGCACAUGUUCGAUGGAAAAAGCGUAUCUGUUCGAUGUGGCAAGUAAAUUGUACAUUAGUACCGAUUCAAGUCCGGUGGAUAUGCAAAGUGUGGAAUUGUGCAGUGAUAUGAUUGAUGUGGUGUUGGAUGUCAGUGGAAUAUAUGGUAUGGGUGGUGGCGGUGGAGGAGGUGGGACGACGUCGACAGCAGG